GGUGACAUAGUGUUCAAACAUCUUGUGAUACCAGAGUCAGCACUUUGCCAUGAAGAUUUUUUGCGCCUUCUCCUUGAUGCUGUUUAUAGCACUCAUGGUUGCUCCAGGAUUCACCAGGUAUCUUCAUGGUGACACAGAGUGUAUGGUCGCUCGGGGGAUAUGCAGACAUUUGCCUUGUCAGCCCUAUGGCAAAAAGAUCGGCCACUGUUUACUGGACACUUACUGCUGCAAAGAUUACAGAUAAAAGGACCACUAUGAUUUCCUGAAGCUCUGGACACUUUCUUCUGAGACAAGAAUAAGAAUGAGAUUCAUCACUAAGCCCUUACAGAGUCCUCCUCUCCCUUGUGGUCACUGUUAGUUUCCUCCAUUGCUGCAGCAUUUUCCACCAUCCUGUUACUAAAGAU